GCCUACGGGGGGCAGCAGUCGGGAAUAUUGCACAAUGGAGGAAACUCUGAUGCAGUGACACCGCGUAUAGGAAGAAGGUUUUCGGAUUGUAAACUAUUUUAGACAGGGAAGAAAAAAGACAGUACCUGUAGAAUAGGCUCCGGCUAACUACGUGCCAGCAGCCGCGGUAAUACGUAGGGGGCAAGCGUUAUCCGGAUUUACUGGGUGUAAAGGGAGCGUAGACGGCAGUGCAAGUCCGGAGUGAAAGCCCGGGGCUCAACCCUGGGACUGCUCUGGAAACUGUAAAGCUGGAGUGCGGGAGGGGG
rnacentral:rRNA from 1 species